rnacentral:lncRNA from 1 species
GCAGGUGUGGCCCUAAAAAGAAAAUAAAAAAUAAAAUCACAUGCCUUAGUCCUUGUUUCUCCAAGGAAAGGUGCCCAUAUGUCACUGAGUGCUGUCAAUGCAUUUGCUUCUUUUCUUCCUUCUAUGUCCUCGCCAUGGUUAAAAUGAUGCCACCGCUUGAGACGUGGGGGACGUGUGCUGUGUUCAUUUUCUUAGGUGCACGAGAACGUCUGUCUUCUCCCACCAUAUCAGAUACAAACCUGGAACGGGAAGGCCAGAAACAACCCUUGUUAAAAAGCUCACGCUACCCUGGCGACUUGAGUUAGAUGACCCUCAUACAAAGCUGUCCCCUCUCCUCAUGUGCUUCUAGUGACUUCCAACUGGGAACCUUAUGGUUUCACAUGGAAGUCAAAAAGGAGAACACGGAUACCCAGCCAGCGUGAGGGGUUUUUUUUUGGGGGGGGGGGGGGUGGGGGGGGGGAGAGUUGUGGUUUUUUCUGUUUUUUUUUUUAAUGCUGUAAGGCAGUAGCAUGCAUAUAUCACAUGUAAAUCAGGGUCAGACAGGGUGACAGUCAGCUAUGCCGCUAAUGAGAAAUUAUGCAAAAUUAGAUGGAUUAUGUACACUUUUUCAGCUUUUGUCUCUUCGCAGUGGAGAUCUUUAAUUAAAAUACACAGAAGAGAGGCCCAGGGUGUAACUGUUAGAUAUUAUGUGCUCUGGUUGUAAGGGACUACCCUUCCCAGUUAUUUUUAUGGGUCAUUCUGUCCAGUGGCAACUUAGAAUAGACAGCCAUCCCCCAGCUUCCCAAAAGGAAUGUCUGUUUUCUCACUUUCUACUAAUUACUUCAGGUCUAAGAGUAAGGACUUGUCACAGAGAAUGCAAAUUAGUCAGUGUCAGGGUACUACUAAAUGGGGAUUAUUUGGGUCUGAGUUUGAUCCACUUAGGGCAGAGUAACAAGAUCACUGACGAAUGGCCACAUCCAUGCACGCUGUGUAGACAUACAGAACACCAGCAAAACUCCAACAUCAUCUUCCUAAUACUCUGUCUGUUGAUAAUAAAAACAUAUAAAUAUUACUUUUUGUUUGUUUUUGUUUUUCUUUAGGGCCACACAUGUGGCAUAUGGAAGUUCCCAGGCUAGGGAUCCAGUCGGAUCUGUAGCUGCCGGCCUAUACCAGAGCCACAGCAACGCGGGAUCCGAGCCGCAUCUGCAACCUACACCACAGCUCACAGCAAUGCUGGAUCCUUAACCCACUGAGCAAGGCCAGGGCUCAAACCCGCAACCCCAUGGUUCCUAGUCGGAUUCGUUAACCACUGAGCCAUGACGGAACUCUAUUUUUCUUUUAUUUGAUGAACACCUGAAGAACCUAUUAUAUACCAAGUAUCUUUUGGUGGCUUUAGGACAGACAGCAUUCAUUUCUCAAUCUUUAGCUGUGCCAGAGCCGUCUGACACACACUUCUGUUAAUCACCCUGGCUCAUGAUUCCUUCCCUUCAAUCAAGCAUUCAUUCACACAGGUUUUAACCUCAAGAGCCCUGAGGUUAAAGAUGGAUUUAAGAUGGGGGGUGGUGUUCCUGAAAAAGUGGACAUUGAACCACAUCUUUAAAGAAAGUAUUAUAUUCUAGACUGGACUAGUGGAGAAGCCUAUUCUAAACAUGGAUGUCCCAUUCUCUUCUGAUUUGGAUCUUCUUGACAACAACCUAAAACUUAGAAAUCCUGCAUCAGUUACUACGCAUCAUUCCCUGCUCGACUUACGCAGUCCUGUGCUUCGAUAACAGUCUGUACAUUGUCAAAAAGUACACAGUUAUGUAACUUAUUGUUACCGAAUAUAAUUUGAUUUGAAUUGAUCAGCAUUGCUGGUGCAAUAUUCACUAGUGUUGUAUAGAUUCUGAUUUUAUUUUGAUUAUACUGUUCUGCUGAACUGAACAAAAAAAAAAGGUCUGUGUACAGAGCCCUGUGGCAUGGAAUGGCAAUAUCCUUUAUGUAUGAAACACUGAUAGUUUUGAUUAGCUUCUUCGGGAUAGAGACAUGGAUUGGUCCUUUGAGCUCAAAUGGCAUCAUUUAUUUGGUAUCGUAUUCAUAAACUGAAAAACAGGGUGGGCCAUAAAAAAAUAACCCCAUAUGUUAAAAUAAGCAUAUAAUCCAAUGCUUUUUUUAUGCUGAUUUCCCUUAAGAACUGUGGCUGAGAAAUUGUUGUUGGUGUUUCUCUUGCCUUCAUGAUAAAAACCCUUCCAAAACUCCUAUCUGUGUUAUCUAUGCAGCAAACUGGGGAUGCUCACUGCGUUGCCGUGCGUUGUGGUAUAGAUUACAGACGUGGCUCAGAUCCCGCAUUGGAGUGGCUGUGGUGUAGGCGGCCAGCUGUAGCUCCAGUUCGACCCAUAGCCUGAGAACUUCCAUAGCUGCAGGUCCAGCCCUAAAAAGACAACAGCAACAACAACAAAAAAGCCACACCGGUACUGGGUUCACAGGAAAGUAGAUGUGUGAUGCAGUAUUAAUUAUUGGGCCAGUAAAAUGUCUCUAGUUUAGGCUUUUGGAGAGAAAGUCAUUUUACAUUAAUUUGACCUAAAUUACGGGAUCCUUCUAAGAAAACAAGUUGUGUUGCUUCAAGGCAUAUAAGUUGUUGACUAAAGGUUGUUUCCAAUUCAUAAACACAGCUUGACAGAAACUGGCAAUGACCAUUUGUUAUCAGCACAGUUAAUGCAAAAAUGGAUGCUCGGAAAAGCCUGAUGUUUUCCCAUGAAUAAAUGAAACAUCUGCCUACAAUCCUAUUUACGUCACUGACUUAUGUGCUGGUCCCCUUUUCUCUCACCAUGCAUAAUUCUCCUCACUCAUUUGAGGGGAAGGAAAAAAAAAAAAACACAAUUAAAACUUUGCUCACCUUCUUUUUCCUGCCUCGAGAUAAUUCUUGCUUCCCGAGGAGAUACGGAGGGAGGAGGCUUUCAGAACCCCGUGUUGCUCCUUCCUUGAAGCAGGAAGGCUCUAGAUAAAAAACAGAGCCAAUGACGUUGGUAUAUUUAUUUUGGCUCUAACUAAGGGUUGGUUUUUUUUUUUUUCCUAUUAAUAAAAAUACUACUUUAGUGGUUACCGUGGGGAGGGGCUAAGAAGGGGGUUGAGAGACACAAACUACUAUGUAUAUAAUAAAUAAGCUACUAGGAUAUAUUACACAGCACGGGGACAAUAGCCCAUCUUUUGUAGUCACUACACAUGGAGUAUAACCUUUAAAAAUGAUGCAUCACUGUGCUGUACACCUGAAGCUUAGAGUAUAAAUCAGCUACACCUCAAUUUUUUAAAUACUUCAAACUUUAAAAAAAUUCAAAACAUCCAUAAAUAAAAAUAAAAGCAAAAAGCUGAGGAUUAAAAAAAAAAAUGUCACUUAACUUACCUUGUCUUCAUCAAACGGGCAGAGGGUCAAUUAAAAUUGUCAUUUGUGGUGUCCGGGCUCCUCCCCAAGGCUGGAGUAGUAGGCGUCACAAAACUGGGCAAAACUCACUCGUGGGUCCUUUUUCUCAGCUGCUUCUGCCUUUGCUUCCUACAAAGCUCUCUUUCCCAGCUGCCUGGGGAAAACGAGGACUUUGGUGUUGAAAUAACUCCUCUGGAACCUACAGUUGUGCCAUAAAAACAUCUGUGCACACACGAAGUGUCAUCCUCUUGAAUGGUCAUGUUUCUUAGUGAAUUUUAUUUCUGUGCCUCGUGAAAGGUCCAUGUUAAAGAUGCCCCUGGCAUGAGUCAGUACACGCCACUGGGACACACAUCAGUGAGGUCUUCUGUAUCAAUAUCCAACGUCUGUGGAAGCGGUCUCCAAAAUUUGCAUUCAGUUCCUUUUAUAAGAAAUUAAGUUUUGUAGUUCCUGUUGUGGAUCAGCAGGUUAAGAACCCAACCUAGUGUCCCUGAGGAUGCAGGUUUAAUCCUUGGCCUCACUCAGUGGGUUAAGUGAUCUGGCAUUGCCGGGAGCUGUGGUGUAGGCUCGGAUCUAGCGUUGGCUGUGGUGUAGGCCAGCAGGUUGCAGCUCCAAUUCGACCCCUAGCCAGGGAACAUCCAUAUGCUUCAGGUGCAGCCCUAACAAUAAAAAAAAAGUUUUAAGAGAUACCUUGACAGAGACAUAAAAGAAAAAUGAAUUACUUGUGUUAAAAUUAUAUAUGCCUCUAUACCAACUGUUGUUGCGCUGCCUCAUAUGCAUUAAUUGGCCAUCUUUUAUUUUAUGUCAUCCUUCGUGUUUUAAAAUGAUCGUUUUUGUUGGCAAAACCAAGGCAUGAGGUCACUUGCCAGAGGACAUGGCUGGUAUUGUAGGUAGGCAGUUGGGUCCCUGGGAGAGUCGUCGUAAAAAGGGAAAUGAGACUCCUGGUGAAGGGUCUGAGGUGUAAUGACCUUUGCCUUCUAGAACCUCCGAGAGCCAUACUUUGAGUCCAUUGUAGUGAACACAAACCCACAGAUCCUUAAAUUGUACAGUCUUAUUCAUUUAACGCGAAGGAGCCCGACAAAUGGACUUAUUAGGACAUAUUCCAAUCUAGCAGUAUAUUUAGCAGAAGAAAGGCCAAAGGUCAGCAUCUCUUGCAGAGGCUGCGAACUGUAUGUUUUCAAUAAGCGGCUCUCAGCUUCAGAAGGCAUUUCUGUGUUCGGAUAGAUGAACACACAGGAACUCAAAUCGAGAGGCCCCGAGUGAAGAGGUGCUACUGGGUUUUAGUUCCUUGUUGUUUUUUCAGCCGGGUGUUUUGAAAUCAGUGGCUGCUUCAUAAGCUGAUAAAGCCGUGCGUACAAGCUGGAGCCACGAGAAGCGGGUUUGAGUAAGUCUAGACACUUGGUUAUCUUCUGUCUAGCAUUCAUUUGUGUCGUGGGCGUCACACCCGGAGGAUUAGUGUUUCGUUAUGCAGAAGCUGUUUUAUCUUUGGCUUCCUUCUAACAGCUCAGCGUGAAUUCUGAGUGGGGAGAGAGAGAAUAAAGGCCGGGGCUUUCGUGACUUCGGGGAUCCCACCAGAACAGGCUGGAUGGACUCUAACAGGGACGGCUAAGCAUGACACCCUCCCUCUUUGACAGGUGACUUGGUUAGAUACGUCUUGCCACCUCAUUUUGUGGAGCGUGUACCAAGGAAUUGACCAGGCUUCCCUGAACAGCGAGAUGAGAGGGUAGAAAUUCAUCUCUGUAUCUCGUAUCUCACACCUGGCAUAAAUGAUAACCAAGAAUAAGGUUUCUGUUGAGCCGUGGAAAUCUAGGAGCCUGGGGGACCCCUGUGUGUGUGUGUGUGUGUGUGUGUGUGUGUGUGUGUGUGUGUGUAAAAUCACUGCCUGGUCACAUUUUAAUUAGCUUCUUUAGGCUCCAGAAAGCAGUGCGAUUUUUAGCCCCCAAAUUAAGCAUCUCUCCUACAAGCAGCAUUCUCUUUUCAAAACUUAAAAUGAUUUUUCCUUACUCUCUGACUUCCUGAGAGUAUGUUUCACUUUUAGAAUGCCUCCAGGAAAGGAAAUUAACCCAUGUGCCCAAAAACCUGCGUCUUUAACAUCUCCUUCCUUAAGCUGCAUUCUUCCAAAGGAUAUCUGGGCUUCAGGCUAAAUUCAUUCGGUCCUCGAAGUCAGCACUGGGUCAGGUGGAAACAGCCAGCCUACCAUCACACAUGCAGGCUUUUUCUCCGAACGCCAAAAUAUCAUGUCAUGUGAAUUAAAAAAAAAAAAAA